ACCUGGAUAGCUCAGUUGGUAGAGCAUCAGGCUUUUAAUCUGAGGGUCCAAGUA
rfam:Macaca mulatta chromosome 2, whole genome shotgun sequence.